AUCCAGCUGAAGAGUGCCGAGUUGGACGAAACGCGUGUCCUGGAU
rnacentral:hammerhead_ribozyme from 1 species